GGGGACACCUCUGGGACCCUGGUUUGGGGGUGCCCGGCAGAUGUGGGUACCCAAAACCUUCUGGUGACAGCCAUAGAGGAGGGAGCCAGUACUGCACUGGGGUGGUGGCCCCAUGGAGGAGGGUACCGGCCAUACAGAUGAGGGUGCAGGCACUAUGGAUGAAAGUACCAGCCCUAUGGAGGAGGGUACCAGCCCCAUGGAAGAGAGUACCAGCCCUAUGGAUGAGGGUGCCAGCCCUUAUCAAGGGUGCACAUUCUAUGGAUGAAGGUAACAGCCCUUGUCGAGGGUACCAGCACUUGUCAAGGAUGCCAGCCCUAUGGAGGAGGGUACAAGCCCUAUGGAUGAAGGUGCCAGCGCUAUGGAGGAGGGUCCUGCCCUGCAGACAGGAGCCUGCCAUGCGCAUUUGGGGCUCAGCUCCUGCCCUCACCGUGCCCCAUGUGGUGACACCAGAUGCCAUCACUGCCAAUGGAAGCUGCCGUCACCAGCUCUUCUCUCAUGCUGGGGGACCUUUGGGUGCCCCAUAUAGGUGUCUCCAUGCAGGACAAAGUAGUCUAGGACCAGCAGGGAUUUGGUGUCUGUGUUGUCCCCCAUUCCCAGGGCGUACCUGUUGGUCCCAGUGGCCAGGACGUGCAUUACUGCCCUGGCCUUUGCUCCCUGUGCUCACAGCCUUGGCAGCGGUGCCAAACAGCCCCAGAACAACCUGUUCUGCACCCAAAAGCGGACACUGCUAUGGGAAGGCUUCACCCCAGCCGUGGGUAUCUCUGCCAGCAAGGCAGCAACUCGGGGACCAGACCCCGGUGUCCCCUUGCCCUGGUCCCCUCUCCGCAUCCCGUGGUGCAGCGGCAGGGAGAAGGAUGCUGUUGUACCCCAGUGACAGGGCUGGGGACAGCUGCACCGGUGUCCCAGGGACUGGUGACAGGAGCGGGAGCUCCAUGGGGAUGCUGAGGCAUGGACACGGACACAGACACACUGACACGGGCACGGACACGGGCACGGGCACGGACACGGACACGGACACACGGACACGGGCACGGACACACGGACACGG
rnacentral:lncRNA from 14 species